UCUUGGGGGUGCAGAUGGCAUCAGACCUGCACCUGAAUAAAUAAUAGGGAAUGAAAUAUGCAGACACUAAAGUUCUGCAGCCAAAUUCUCAGAAACCUUCCUCUUCCAUGUAGGAUCAGGAUUUUGGUUUGAAUUGAUUUUUUUUUUAAAAAGUGCUAAGCAGAUGCUACACUGUAAGAAGAGGAAAGAGAAUCAAAAACUGAAAGAUUGUUACGAAAACCAAUGAAGAGCUGCAGAGAGUGGGGACCCGGCAAAGCAAACAAAUGAAUACUGAAAAGGAUCCCCAAAGGAGGUGUACGGAUCCGGGACUCUAAUGUCUGCCAGAAGAUUCAGCCACCUUCACAGGUUAGAGCUCAUCGUCCAUUGCGGAGGUGA